rnacentral:rRNA from 1 species
UACGUAGGCAGCAAGCGUUGUUCGGAGUUACUGGGCGUAAAGGGUGUGUAGGCGGUUCUCUAAGUUUGGUGUGAAAUCUCCCGGCUCAACCGGGAGGGUGCGCCGAAAACUGGGGAGCUAGAGUGCGGGAUGGGUAAGUGGAAUUCUUGGUGUAGCGGUGAAAUGCGUAGAUAUCAGGAGGAACACCUGUGGUGUAGACGGCUUACUGGACCGCAACUGACGCUGAGACACGAAAGCGUGGGUAGCAAACAGG